rnacentral:lncRNA from 1 species
CUACCCUAGCACGUUUCUGUCUGCCUUCUUGGCAAGUCUAGGUUUUCAAAAGUUUCUUGGUUCGACGGCUACCAUCUAAAGGGUCUGAAUUAAUUCUCUUAAUCUGUUUCUCAUGUAAUUGUCCAUGGAGUCAGAUUUCGCCGGUCUGUCUAUUGAUGAUGAUGAAGAAUAAAUCCUGCAAGCACAAGGAGAGAUAGAACCGGUAAGUGAAGAAGAGAUUUUAAGUUUGGUUUGUUGCUUUUUUACAACCAGUAUUAUUCAUUAUCCAGCAAUGAAAAGCACCAUGGCUAAUUUAUGGCAUCUGGUCAAGGGUGUUCAAAUCAGAGAUUUGGGGGAGAAGAGAUAUAUUUUUAAAUUCUUUCAUAUUGUGGAUAUGGAAAGAGUUUUAAAAGGGUCCCCUUGGACUUUUAAUAAUCACCUGCUGAUUUUGCAUAAGUUGAGUAGGGGAGAGGAUCCAUUAAGAGUUCCAUUAAUUUCAGCAUCUUUCUGGGUACAAGUACAUGAUGUUCCCAUUGGCUUUUAUUCUGAAAAUCUGGCCAUACAAUUGGGAAAUUUCAUUGGAAUAUUCCAAGAGUAUGAUAGUGCUAAUUUGGGGAAAGAGAAUAUGAAUUAUAUGCGGAUUAGAGUACAAAUUGAUGUUAGACGGCCUCUCAAAAGGAAAAAACAAGUUAAGUUUCAAAAUAAAUGCUCUUACGUCAGAUUUAAGUAUGAGAGAUUAACACUUUUUUGUUUUUAUUGUGGCCACCUAGGUCAUAAUGAUUCUUUUUGUGAAAUAAAAAUGGAGGCAGAGGUGGAAAUUGGUGAGAUGGGAUGGGAUUUGUCUUUGCGAGCACAGUCAAGAAGAGCCCAAGCAAUGAGUAGUGUCUGGUUAAGG